AGCGAACGCUGGCGGCAGGCUUAACACAUGCAAGUCGAGCGGGCAUAGCAAUAUGUCAGCGGCAGACGGGUGAGUAACGCGUGGGAACGUACCUUUUGGUUCGGAACAACACAGGGAAACUUGUGCUAAUACCGGAUAAGCCCUUACGGGGAAAGAUUUAUCGCCGAAAGAUCGGCCCGCGUCUGAUUAGCUAGUUGGUGAGGUAAUGGCUCACCAAGGCGACGAUCAGUAGCUGGUCUGAGAGGAUGAUCAGCACAUUGGGACUGAGACACGGCCCAAACUCCUACGGGAGGCAGCAGUGGGGAAUAUUGGACAAUGGGCGCAAGCCUGAUCCAGCCAUGCCGCGUGAGUGAAGAAGGCCUUCGGGUUGUAAAGCUCUUUUACCAGGGACGAUAAUGACGGUACCUGGAGAAUAAGCCCCGGCUAACUUCGUGCCAGCCGCCGCAGUAA
rnacentral:rRNA from 1 species